UUCAAUAUCGCUUAACAUCUCAUACGAAAAAAAAGAAGAACAGUUGUUAUGACAGACUUCAGCAAAGCAUUUGAUUCUGUGAAGCACAAUAAACUUGUCAACAAGUUCAUCCAUCUUGGAGUGCACCCAUCUGUCAUGACGGGAAUAAUUAACUUUCUGAACAGUGGAGAGCAGUGUGUGUGUUUACUGUGGUGAAAUUUGUGACUGGAAAUAACUCCAUUGUGGAGUCCCACACGGAACUCGCAUUGGCCUAUGGGGAUUCCUCACACUCGUAGAUGCGCACUAGAAAAUUCCCCACUUGCAUGUACUCUCCAGGAUACUAAGAUGACCUGACAAUGUUGGGGAAAAGUAAUAAUCACACUCCUUCGGAAAUGCAAAACCACCUUGACAGGCUGGAAGAGUGGACCCUCAAGAAUCAUAUUAGACUGAAUGUUGAUAAAUGUGCAUUCCUUUAACGGAGCCCCCUGUACUAAGUUUGUUUUGUUCUUGAUGUUUUCAAGUAUUAUCUUCCCGUCCAUUCUUCCCCCCCCCCGGUAUUUUUAACUGUGCAGCUGGCUGUUGGGUAACACAUUGUUGGUCAUUGUUAUACUGGUAUCUCAGGAAUUCUUUUCAGACAUGGGGGGUGAUGUAUUCAGUGACAAUAGGCUGGAAUGUGUAUAGGGACUGGACUUGUUGAGGGGGUACCCCUGUCCCAUUUCGUGCCUGGUAUAGAUGUGUUAGGUAACAAUAGUCUAGAGUGUGUAUAGCACUUGGAGAAGUUGUUGGGAUUCAUGUACAUGUACCCCUCAGUCUCAUUUCUUGCUGGAUAUAGCUUUUUUGAAGCCCUGAGAAUGGGAGGUGUAUGACAAAAAGGGCACAGAGAUAGAUCAAGGAGUGUUGGGUUGGUUUGUGUUACCACCAUAGCCAACAGACCUGUGGAAUCUGCCACCGCAGGUUACAAGUAACGGGGUAGACAUGAGAGAUACCCAACUUACAUUGUACCACAAGUAAUUUUUUUCUGUGACGAUAUUUCUGACAGGUCUUCACUGCAGCUACGCCUGAAGCUUGAGACAAAACCUUGACGGAAUUACCAUGACCUGUUUGGAGAGUACAGACCUGCAAUAGUAGCAAGCCAAUCUGAGCUGAGUUGCUAAGUUGGUCCCCUAGAGAACAGUCUGAGACACAGGCCGGACACGUUGUUACAGGGCAUCUACUGCUGCCUGGGGCUCUCGAAGGUGAUGCAUUCUCAACGACUUCAGGAAACUCCCCUGACGCCAUGGAUAAUUGCAGAAAGGAGUAGCAAGGUAUUGGCAGCACACUGUGACUGUAUAGCAGGCAUUGGGGAGACAUGUACACAUGUCAGUGCAUUGGUGUUCUACCGGUACAUUGACAUGAAAGUCCACAUCAGAGAGUCAAAAACGGUGACCCAAGAGCCAGCUUAUUGGAAGUUACCAGCAUCAGUAAAAGAAGCUGCUUGAUCUCCCUGCGUGUAAAAUAGACUUUACUUUGGCCAAAACUAAGAAGAAGCAGUUGGAUGUACUUGUAGAUGGAUCUGUCAACACAACUGAUGGUGGUGAUGUCAAACAAAAACCUCAGGUACCAGCCCCAACAAAAGACGAACUUGACUUGCUCUACAAAGAACUGAAUGAGGCAGAUGCAAAGUCUGCAAUUCUCACUGUUCUUCCUAACUACAGCCAUAGAUUUCAUCCCGAGGGAAGCAAC
rnacentral:lncRNA from 1 species